CUGUUACCAUGGCAACGGUGGACAACAGAACAGCAGCACACCAUUACCUGCGGUCAACCCCAGUCCUGGAGCACAAGGGCUCCUGCAGCCACCAACAGCCACCUGCCAGCACCGUCCACCUCACUUCAUCUCACCACCUAGGCCUCCUGUCAUCUCACAGCAUCACAGAAAGGGUGAGUGGAAAGUACUGUAAGAACUUCACUGUAAGUACUGUAGGAAACUCGGAGAGAGACUACAUUCACAUAACUUUGGUUAUGGUAUGCUAUUGUACUUUUUCUAUUUUAUUAUGAGUUACGAUUAAUCUCUUACUCUCCCUAAUUUAUAAAUUCAACUUUAUCAUAUACGUACAUAUAGGAAAAAUAUGGUGUAUGUAGAGCUCAUUACUAUCUGCAGUUUCGGGAAUCAAUGGGGGUUAUCUAAAGUGUCCCCUGUGGAUAAGACGGGACUAUACCUAAGGAUAUCAGUAGAAUUGAGGGUCAGAGCACUAAAACCCCAGGAGAAAAAUGGCAAAAUACAUUAAAAGGCAAACCACAAGAGAAGUCUAAAAAUGGCUGCCAAAUAUAAAAAAUAUGUUCGUACUCACUCAUAAUCAGAGAAAUGCAAAUGGACACUUGAGAUACCUUUUCUAAUCAGACUGGCAAAAAUUUAAAAAUUAGAUAAUAUGUUCUUUCAUCAAGAUCAUGGGGAAG
rnacentral:lncRNA from 12 species